rnacentral:rRNA from 1 species
UACGGGGGGAGCAAGCGUUGUUCGGAUUCAUUGGGCGUAAAGGGUGCGUAGGCGGCGCGGUAAGUCGGGUGUGAAAUCUCGGGGCUUAACUCCGAAACUGCAUUCGAUACUACCGUGCUUGAGGACUGGAGAGGAGACUGGAAUUUACGGUGUAGCGGUGAAAUGCGUAGAUAUCGUAAGGAAGACCAGUGGCGAAGGCGGGUCUCUGGACAGUUCCUGACGCUGAGGCACGAAGGCCAGGGGAGCAAACGGG